rnacentral:rRNA from 1 species
GACGAACGCUGGCGGCGUGCUUAACACAUGCAAGUCGAACGGAAAGGCCCUGCUUUUGUGGGGUGCUCGAGUGGCGAACGGGUGAGUAACAUGUGAGUAACCUGCCCUUGACUUUGGGAUAACUUCAGGAAACUGGGGCUAAUACCGGAUAGGAGCUCCUGCUGCAUGGUGGGGGUUGGAAAGUUUCGGCGGUUGGGGAUGGACUCGCGGCUUAUCAGCUUGUUGGUGGGGUAGUGGCCUACCAAGGCUUUGACGAGUAGCCUGCCUGAGAGGGUGACCGGGCACAGUGGGACUGGGGUGCGGCCCAGACUCAUACGGGAGGCAAGAGUGGGGAAUAGUGCACAAUGGGCGGAGGCCGGAUGGAGCAACGCCGCGUGCGAGAUGACGGCCUUCGGGUUGUAAACCGCUUUAGCCUGUGACGAAGCGUGAGUGACGGUAAUGGAUAAAGAAGCACCGGCUAAUUACGU